CAGAUUGAGUCUCUGUGGUUUGUCAGAGAUCAGCUGUGGUUAUCUGGCAGCAGCACUGAAGUCCAACCCCUCCCAUCUGAGAGAGCUGGAGCUGAAUAACAACAAGCUGCAGGAUUCAGGAGUGAAGCAUCUGUGUGGUUUUCUGAAGAGUCCAGGAUGUGGACUUGAAACUCUGAGAUUGAUGAGCUGUGGUUUGUCAAAGAUCAGCUGUGAUUAUCUGGCAGCAGCACUGAAGUCCAACCCCUCCCAUCUGAGAGAGCUGUACAUGUGGGACAACAACCUGAAGUAUCCAGAUGUGAAGCAGCUGUCUGAUCUUCAGCAGAGUCCAGACUACAGACUGGAGACUCUGGGGUGGAGGUGAUGAUGGUAAACAGGACGGUGUGUGUGCUGAGAGAGGAGCAGCUGUGUCCUGAUGAUCCAGAGAGGUUGAAGCAGCAGCGGCUUGUGUGUAGAGACGCUCUGACUGGGCCAUGUUACUGGGAGGUGGAGAGGAGAGCUUCAUCCAGCAGUGACUGACAGAGGAAUGAAGUGCAGAUGACUGUCAGUGCUGCAGAGUGAACUGCUCUGAGAACAGCUCCACUGUCAGACACAAUGUAGAGUCCAGCAUCAUCCCUGUGUGUCCCUCUGGAUCUGACAGAGGAUCAUCAGUGUAUCUGGACUGCUCUGCUGCUGCUCUGUCCUUCUACAGUCUCUGCACAGUCUCUGUCUGACUCUGGCUUCAGACCCUCCUGGAUCAAACUCACCUGGAAAGACUUUCAAACAUGUGAAAAGAUUUUGUUUAUUAUUCAAAUAUGCUUUGCUUGUAAUUGUGUAAACUCUGAAUGAUGAUUCACUCUGAUAAACAUGAAGCCUUGCCUAUGCUUAUCAAAUGCCUGUGAAGACAAGUUCCUGUGCAAAGAGCAACGGAAAAUGCCACUUAAGCAGACGUUUAGUAUAGUACGGACAGAAUGUUUAGCAAGAUAUGCAUUUGUCAGCUUAGCAAUCUGUAUUCUGAAAGCAAGGCGGAGACUGCCUCCGUCUGCUGUGUAACCUACAUGCCUAUAUAACCUGCAAUAAAGAAGAGUACUGUGUGACUCUCUCUCGAGACGUUCACCCAUGUACAUAUGAUUAAUUAUAUUGUCUCACUGUGUCUCUGUUUUACUUUGGCAGCCUUCUAUUUGGGAAAUUUUCCCCUGACAAUUCUUGGUCCUUCGAAGCCGGAUGAGACAGCCUAUUUAAAGCAGCUCUCACAGAAAGCACCUCACCAGUUCCCGUCGGUGCGAGAAGCCCAGGUUGAAGUCUGCCGGCAGCUCACGCACUAGGUGUGUGAUA